CCUGCAACAGCACAGAGGGCUCAUCAGCUGUGGCAGUGUGUCAGCGGGAACACCCGUUUCUCAGCACAGACAAAAUCUGGUAAGUACCAACGAUCUCCACAGCUUAACUUGGGCUAGAGUUAUUGUUCACACUGUAUCCUGAUGCUACAGUCAAGCACAGUCUGUUUACUGAAGGCCCUGUCUGAACAGGCUCCAAUCACAUAGGCUAGGUUCCAAUUCUCUAUGAGGCUAAGGAUGAGACCAACUCCUUAUGCUUCCACCUCCACCUUCUAAGUGCUGGAAGUGAACUGUACACUACCACCAUCAGCCUAAUAUUUCAACUAGAGAGAGGAGAAAGAAUAAGGGAGACAGGGAGGGGGAGUGAGAGGAAGAGGAAGAAAGAGGGAGAAACCCCCCCCCACCCGGGUAUGGCUACUUUUUACUUUUCUUGCUAGCACAAGCAAUAAUAAUGCCAUAAAUCCUUCUAUUAUGUAUUUAUAGACACGCUCUCACACUGUAGCAGCCCAGGUUGGACCAGAGCUCACUGAGAUUGGACUCUACUCAAGAUAAUCCUCCUGUUUCAGCCUCCUGCAUGCUGGGACGGCAGGCUUGUGUCACUAUGCCCAGCUAAACAAUUCCUACACAAAAUCUCCCAGAGCACUCAGGGAAUGGACAACUGUCAGUUUUGUGUUCCUGGCUGCUUACGGAUCUGAACUCCCAUCCCUGGCACUUCCUUUUUAACAAUAAACACACCAGGGACCGAGUGCUAUGCCCUUUGGUCAGUCCUCCCAAUAGUCUAUUCUUGUGGGCAGGUCCAGGGAAACAGAUGGAGACACAACUCAGACCCUCUGUCCUGGAUUUCAGUGUCAUGUGCCCAAAUCUGUGCAAAAUUCACUCUUUUCUAAACUGCACAAGUUUUUGUUUGUCUGCUUUCCAAGAAAGGCCUCUGUCCUACACCCAAGUCUACUCCUGAACUGAUGUCUCUCCUGCCUUAGCCCCUGGAAGCUAGGACUGCAGACUUGUGAUAUCACAGGUCGUAACAAAACAUUACUCCUUGAAGGGUUGCUGAAACUUGCCUGCAAACUAACCUCAUAAAAUAACUCUGUAACUAGGAACUGGGGCGACGGCUCCGUGGUGAAGAGCACUUGCUGCUCUUGCAGAGGACUGAAUGGGUGUCCAGACCCACACGCUUGCUCUCAGCCACCCACAAGUUUCAGUGUCAGAGGGAGGGAGCUACCUGACAUCCUCUUCUGACCACCAUAAAGCCAAGACUAAUACUAAUAUUCAGAGUACAGAACUCCUUUGACUGUUUUCCGCCACAUUUUGUGAGGAUUCAGAGCUGAAGGUCUGUGUGGGAAACCUGCCUGCCCAUAAGCUUUCUGGAUCCCAAGACUUUUGGCAUGGGUAGCUUUUAAAAAAGAAUUUUUGGGUUUAGUUCCAGAGAUGAUUUUGUAAAUAUACCUAACUCCAUAAGCAUUUGUGGCACGUUUCAGACUUCCCUGGCUAAGUGUCACCAUCCAAGGAAAUUGAUGCCGCCUGCUUCCCCAGAGCGCAUCUUCUCCCUCCUCCCGGGCAUCCAAGGAGGCAGAUUGAAUCUGCUUCCUCAUUAUUGCCUGGUCUAGGGAGGAGAGCUGCCUGCAGGCAGUAAUACCUGUAGCAACAGACACGGAGCUGCAAAGGGACCCAGCUUCAGGCGCCACAGCUUCCCUUCAUGGUCUGCAGGGCCAUUUCUCAUCUUAUAAUAAAUGCACUCGAGUCUCCAGGCUGAGCUGAGCUGGUAUGAAACCUUUCGGUUUUGUUCAGCUGUGAGUGCUCUGUCGUCUCCUUUCUAUCUUUAAUGCAUGAGCGGCAGGCAGCAAAGCGAUAGUGUCAAGCAUUCUUAAACUUCAUUUGCAUAAUGAUCAAAACAUAUGGUUUCUAUGAGAUCAAGGUUUGGAAACCACCUGAGACUUCUUGUCCUUCCAUGUGAAUCCAGCACCUGCAGCUCUUCUGGCCCCUCCCACUCAUUCCUGCCUGGUUCAGGUUCCAACAGAGGUGUGUCACAACAUCCACCCAUGACACUGUAUUUGUCAAUUUCCCUUUGAAAUCCUGCAAGCUUUUGCUGUUGUGAUUUUUUUUUCCUCUUUACAUCAUUUUAGGAUGCAACACUGGGGCCAUUGGAGACCUCAGCUGCAGUGUUUACUGGUCUCCACUGCCCAGGCCUAUAUUCAAAACUUCCCUCCUGCCUUCCCCCAUCCUGAGACCUGACACCUCCUAAGACACAGACCACACCACCACCAUCCGCCUUCCCACUCUGAGCAGCCGACUGACAGAGGCAGAGAGGAUGGCAGAGCGGCCCACCUGCUGGAACUGGCCCUCGGAGACGCCAUCGCGGUAGAAGAUGAUGCGGGUGGGCUUGAAGCGGGUGGACUUGUAGAACUGAAUGAGCAACUCUCGUACCAUGGCAGCCAGGUCCUGGAUGAUCUCCUGUCGGUGCUGCUGCACGCGCACGGUGGCACAGUAGCGGUUGGGGUGUGCGUCCAUGCUGCCCACGACCUGUGGACAGACACGGUCAGCAGGGGACAAGGGCUCCAGGUGUCCCUCUUUUGGGUCCAGCUGGAGAUUGGCCUAUAAGAAGCAUCUCCCAGUGUCCCUCACAGCAGAUAGUACUGCUAGCUCCCUUCUCAAGAUGGGAUACUUGCCCCAUGGUACACGGGAAAAAGGCAACCUUGAGCCUUACUGUGUCAGGGGGUUGGGUUACCUGUAAAAAGCAACUGGGGGGGGGGGGUGCCUCUAGAUUUUUUAGGAGCAAACACGUCUCCAAAUUGCCUUAUGCCCAUCAAAGAGUUAGCAUCCCCAGUCUUAGAUCCCUAGGAAGGUCACAGCCCCGUGAAGCAACUUGGCUGUUUUAGGGCUCAUCUGAAGGAGCAACCAGAGAGUCAGAGCCCCACAAUGCUGCCAGGAUUCUGAGGUUAGGGGACCAAAAGUAAACGGAUCAGCUACAGCUAGGGCCUGCCCACUUCCAGGCUGGGGAAAGCACUUCCUUAUACCUUGAAAGCACACAGGGAAGAGCCCUGGACUUCUGGGAAGCAGGUGGCUAGCUACUCCUCGGAAAAGCUUACAGAGCAUCGUCUCUAAGCCUUGCCAAACUCCUUGUUCAAAAAAUAUUUCAAGUUGGCAUAAAUAGAGAUAAAUCAACAUGAACAGAAACCUGUCCUAUUGAUGGAGAAUCGAGGGGACCAGGAAUAAGCAUAGAUUUCUGCUCUUUAGAAUUUGAUAAGCCUGGUUCUGAUCUUGGUUGUCAACUCACCCACAGCUGGUAUCAACCCAAGCCACAGCAGCUGAUGAGGUAAGCUUCUGAGGGAUUUUGCCGAAUCAUUAAAGGUGGGGAGACCCACUAAAAUCCGAGUCACACCUCUUUCUUAGUGGCAGCCUUCGACCUUUUGCCUGCUUGCUGUUGGCAAGUUUGUCUAUUCCUGUUACUGCAGGCAGGUUCCAACUAGACUGAAGACCAGCAGCUUCCAGUUCUCCUGGACUCUAGAACUGAACUGGGACCGCAGAGACCUCCAGUCUUUUUUUUUUUUUUGGUUUUUCGAGACAUGGUUUCUCUGUAUAGCCCUGGCUGUCCUCAAACUCAGAAAUCCGCCUGCCCCUGCCUCCCUUGGGAUUAAAGGCAUGCACCACCACACCCGGCGAGACCUCUAGUCUUGUAGACUGAACAACUACAAAUUAUUCUUGGCCUUUGUUUUAAGACUGCAUCCUCUAAGUCAAUCCAAUGAACUGUGUGUAUGCGUGUGCACGUGUGUAACUAAUGCAUUUGCCUAAGUCUCCGAAGCCUACAGAGAGGACCCUGCACACAGUGACUCAGAGAAAACAAAGCCAACAAUGACCAGGUAGAGCCCAAGACCUGGGCCAGACCCCAAGCACAUUGGCUGUUCGGGUCUUUUCUGGCAUUAGAGAUCCUGACCCUGGAUACUACCUGAAAGCCACAGCCAAGAACUAUGCAUAGCACACAUGAUGCAAAUGGGGUCUCAUCCUAUAUCAUAUCCCAUACUCUACCCCUUUAAUCCGGAUUAAAUAAACAGUGAUGUUAAGUCUGGUUAGCACCUACUAUACACACACACACACACACACACACA